rnacentral:rRNA from 1 species
AGGAUGAACGCUGGCGGCGUGCUUAACACAUGCAAGUCGAGCGGAAAGGCCCUUCGGGGUACUCGAGCGGCGAACGGGUGAGUAACACGUGAGCAACCUGCCCUUAGCUCUGGGAUAGCUCCGGGAAACCGGAAUUAAUACCGGAUAUUACACCGGCUGGCAUCGGCUGGUGUGGAAAGAUUUAUCGGCUAAGGAUGGACUCGCGGCCUAUCAGCUUGUUGGUGGGGUAGAAGCCUACCAAGGCGACGACGGGUA